GGUAAUAAUAGAUGAAAUAUGAACGGUUGUGAUUUAUAUCUGACACCACAUCUAAUAGUCAAUAGAUAUAAUAGAAGUGGUUGAUAUUUUUUGGAUAUUUUAUAAUUUCCACCUCGAGGAAAAAGUUAAACACACCAGCUUUCCCCACGAUUUAGAUUGACCUGGCAGUUUAAUUUUAUUUUAAUAAAGAUAAUUAGUUGAAUCAGAGUAUUAGUGAUCUAAAAAAAAUAUAAUUAAAUCUAAAAGAUUCGAUUUAAAUGAAGUAAUCCCAAAUGGAACUUUUUCAACGUGUCUAAAUUACCCUUUAUAGUAACAACUCCAAAAGCACAGAAAAGGGUAUUCUCGGCAAGAAGAAAAUACGAUCUCUGCCACUACUUGUACAAGACCUAAAUACCCUCGAUCCAUUAUCACCAGUUCACCACCACCAUACCCGAUCUCACCUCUUUUCCACCUUCGCAUGAGGAUCAGAAGGAGACCUCAACUCCAACCAUGUCCCGUAACUCAUCCAUCGUCGUCGACGACGACGACGACGACGACGACGACUCGCCAGGCCCCGCCAAGAGGAGGAGGGGACGAAGAAGAAGACGGGAAGAAGCAAAGGAUCUGCGUUGAAGGAAGAGGAGAUGCAGAUGGGACGGAAGGGGAGGAAUUUGUUAGAUUGCGUCAUUACGAUGAUCUUGCUGUAACAGAGAUUCAAAAUGAGUGCAGUUUUGCCAUAGAUCCACAACCACCAUCAUCUCAUCUCCAUAAAGAAACAAACUUGAUGAUGGCAGCUGGACCGAACCACGAUGAUGGUAUUACAAAUAUCAAGGUACUGACUGAUUAAUUAGCCCAAAUAAAUAUAUAGAAAGAAGAAGAAAAGAAAAGAAAACAUCAUGCAUUGCUUUCAAUUCAGUUCAAAGCUGUCUAGUGUAGCAGUAGUAGUGUCUACUACUUACUGUCUACUACCCUGUGGUGGGGAGAAUCUUGUAUUUAUUCAUUCAUUCAUUCAUUCAUUCAUUCAAUGUGCAUUUCAUGGGAUCAAACUCAAAGUAGAAGACAACAAGGAGCAAGAUGUGGUAGAGAUUUGGUGGUACUAGUCAGAUCAGUUCAGAUCCAUAGCUUAUUUUAUAAGUUAUGCAUUCAUCAUCAUGUGAAGUAUAGAGUUGGAGUGGUGCAAUACUGUAAUAUACUAAUAUGACCGCCCUUCUUUCUCGCUUUGGGCAUGCUUGCCUGCCACUCUAUGUUGGGUUGGUUGCAGGUGCAACAGAAACAGCAGGAGCAAGGAACCCAAGAUAGACUGUUCAUGGUGGAAGGGGCUCAUAAAAACUACAGCCCAGCUUGGUGUAAGAACAUUCAACAGGGUUUUCACAUUGGUAACAAGUAAGUUUUCCUUCUUCCUUUUAUCAUUUAAAUAUGUUUGGAUAUUUGAACAGCACACAACUGAAGCACAACAGGCUAGCAGAACCUACAUUACUACAUAUAUAUAUAGCUCCCCUCUUCUCUCCUCCCCUCCAUUUAAUAAUGGGUAUUUCUCUUUAAUCAGAUGGGAUGAUGAGAAGAACAAGUCUUCAUCAGCGGGGAGGGAAACUGCAACUGCAAGCACUGCAACAUCCGGUCUUAUCAAUGGAGAUCGACAUGAGAGUCAGAAGAGUAGGAAGAGGAGAGGAAAUCCUGCAGUUUUGAUGGAAGGAUCACGGUGUAGCAGAGUCAAUGGGAGAGGGUGGAGAUGUUGCCAACAGACACUGGUUGGGUACUCUCUUUGUGAACACCAUCUUGGUAAAGGUAGAUUGAGGAGCAUGACCAGUGCUAAAUCCAAAGGAAAGAAGAAUAAGCUGGAGAUUAACAGUAGUUCUGGUUGCAGCAGUAGUCAUCCAAGUCAGGUUGUGGCGGUGGUCGACGACGACAAUGACCAGGAGGGGAAGAAUGUUGGGUUGAGGAUGAAGGGGGGAAAAAAGAUGGGAAUGGUCAAGGCAAAGUCUAUCAGUAGUAUACUCUUGGCUCAAAUAACUGAAGAUGAAGUUCUAUCAACUAAUGGAAAUGAGAGUAGAUGUAGUAGUAAUAGUCGUAGUAAUUUAAAGAUUGUUACUACAUAACCAACAUUUUUGUGUUUGUGCUGCUGCACAAGCAGAUUUAAUCAGUGUGUGAUUUUUAAGGGAUUUCCCCCAUCAAUAACAUUGAUGACAGCAACUCUCUCUUUUAGAACCAAUAAGAACACGUGAUUUUAUCUAUCUACAUGCACAAGUUUGCACUGGUAAUACAAUCUUGAUUCCGUUAUAAUAUUGAAAGAAUCUUGGAGGAUUUUAACAUUUCUGAUAAAGACAAAGUGACAAAUACUUGCUCUGUUAUAAUAACCAAUACCCUAGUCUUUAGAAUUGCAAAGAAGAGUUUAUCUGUUUAUGGAAGAACAAUGCACAAGUGCACAACCAUUUUAGGUAGGCAAUUUACAUGUCUUGAUUUCACCUCCAUUAAAAUGAAGAAAGGGAUCAAUCAAGAUUCAAGACAAUGGUCCUUUCUGAGCUUCCUCCCUGUUAUAAAUAGUACAAUUGAAAAAAUGGAGGUUUAUUCAAAUGUCAAUAUUGGGAUUUGGGGAUUUGGGCUCUGAGGAAUCAGUUUCUAUUCUCAGCUCCUCACUUAAAUGAAUGCAAAGAAAGUCAGCAGAAGAUGCCUAAUGAAGCUAUAAAACCAAACAAAUCAAGCUCAGUGGAUGGAUGGUAAUCAAGCUAUUGAAUUUUUUUAUAGAAGAAAUCAUUGUUAGCUUCACUAAUUUGGUGUAAAUUAUUAAAGUUGAUACAUUGAGAAAAAAGCUAAAAAGACAGCAUUCAAGUCUUGCCAUUUCAGGUGGAAACACUCUUUUACAACUCCUGCUUGUCAGUGAGAAUUAUAAUGAGUUUCUAAGAAAGAAGGUGGUCCAGGCAUCCAUUUCCACUGUUAAUGCUAUGGGCUGUAGAAACUUAUCCAGAGUAGCAGAAGGACCUAACUUAGAGUUGACUUGAAUGACAGAAUGACUUUGGAAUAAGUAAUGGAAAUGCACGAUACCAUCGUGUUUCCAGAAGAUCCAGGGGAAAAAUCUAGAACAGCAAUGAUGUUUCAAGAUCUGAUAAGAAAUCUUUUCUAAAAUCUUUGUAAAUCUAAUUACCAACAGAUAUAUGCAGAUUGUGUCGGCUAAUAUUUUGGCAAGCGAAUCCAAAGAUGCAAUCUUUCCUCAAACUUGAACCGAACGAGCUCCUUGUCGAAACGAACCCUCUCCAACGACUCCUUGUUCAGACAGUUACGUACGUCACUGAUGGAAAUGGAAAAACCUCGCAUCCCCGACAGCGCCAUAAAUCUCAGUUGGAUCUUACUAAAUACCAAGUUGAUCAUCAGAUCCCGCUCCGAAAUCUUCCGCCAAUUGGGGUUUAGGGUUUAGGUCAACCGUGGGAAGAGGAAGGCACCAUGUCCGAAAAAUUGAUUUAAGGACUUUUUUCAUUAUUUACCCCAUUUUUUGCCCUAACUCUCCAUUCCCCUUACUGCUGGAGAAUACAUUGCUAUAUGAG
rnacentral:lncRNA from 1 species